CAACAACAGAUCACAUUGGUUUUGAUGAGAAGAAUUUGAACUUAAACUUAAAGGAGCAUAGACUUUGAAAGUAUGAUAUUUCACGUGCCAAAUGGAUACAGAAUCUACUUCCCUAUUUCUGUGCCUGGCAGAUAAAUUUAGGUAUUAAUAAGUGAAACCUUGAAAAGAUUUCCAGAAACAUUCUUUUAUGUGUUGGAUCUCAAACAUUUUCUUCCCCUAACUCCCUAGGGACCCGCAAAGGUGGAAAAAAAGUCAACCCAAAAAACUGCAAUUACCACGACUCAAUGGGAAGUUACCCAUAUUCUAAAAUCUGCGCGGAAAGAGUUCGAGAUGGGGUAAAGGAGGUGAAGGUGAGGUGGCUGCCAUGCCCCAAAUGCAAUUUGAGGUGGAAAGAUUCUUGGGUCCCUAAAACAGAGCUGGAAUAAUCCGGACAGAGGAGGAUGCAGCUUAUAUUUCUGCUUGUUUGACGUGUAAUUUGUUAUUUUAGAUGUUAUUGUAUAUUGUGUUAAUGUUACAUUUACUGUUUCUUGUUCUAUUUUACUGUUUUUAAAUAAAAUGU